CACGAGUCCACGAGUGUAGGACUGGACGUAUCCUACGGUUGAAAGUGUAGGACACCUCUUGUACUACAGUUAUAGCUGAGGUACAAUGGUGCCCUACACUUUUAACUUGGAACACGUCUGUCCUACACUUUAAACUGCAGUACACAUUGGUCCUACACUUAUAAGUGCAGUGAAACCAAAAGAGUUUGAAAAGACAUCGUUCUCGGAACUAUUUUGAUAACAAGACGAAAAUUCAAAAAAACAGUUUUUUACUGUUUUUUACUCGGUUUUUUACUGGUUUUUUACUUUCACUUCAAAAAAACGUUUUUUUUUUAUCUCUACCGCGAGCACUCUCGCGCUCUGAGACUGGCCAGCCCAGCCCAGCGCAGCCCGCCUCCGGGCGUAAAAAUGGGUUUGCGGUGUGAUACACCACGGCUAGACCGUUCGGUUUUUAGGGUUUAUAUUUUGCUGGGUUGUAGACCAAACCGUAGUCUACAAUGACAUCAAAUUCAAUUUUCUCUCUCAUCAAUAGUUCAGCUGUAGUUUGAAGCGCCGCAAACACUUUCUGCCGAGGCCCGGUCCCGGCCGCGGCCGGCCACCCUCAAGUCAAAGUGCGAGCGAGACCGAGGAGACAGGCAGGAGACAGGUCCACAUCAGUGCACAAUAGGGUCCGGCGGCGGUAAUCCGUCCGAAUACUGCUUGCCCCGCUGCCCCCCGGAGCAGUGAGUGGGAGCGAGAGGGAAGCACUGUACCUGAACGCGGCCACUGACCGGGCCGUGUCGAGCCGGACCCGCCCGCCCGUAGCCCCGCACCUCCCCUCAGACCCCUCGUGUACUGCGGGACGGUAUGCUCGGAAAUCCAAGGGGCUCGGAGUGCAGGGGUUCGGCCCGAUAUACACCACUCCCAAACCGGUUCAUUUUUUAAUUUCAUAUUUGAUAGGCUUGUAGAUCAAAGAUAGACGCACGACGACACCUAUUUCGUUUUUCUACUGGACCACCCGUUAAGUUGCCUUAGUCCUCCAAAGUUGACUGUAAUUUUUCACAAUUUCCAGGGGGUGUAGAUGCCAGAGGAGUGAUCCGAUCGGAAAACAAAAUAGAUGCCGUUGUAGAGCGGCAAAACUACUAUGAAAUGAACGUCGCGUGGAUCCGAUCGCAUUAAAAAUAUGGAUGUGGUGUAUAUCGGCGUUUUCCGAUUUUACGAACUUUGACGGCUUCUCCAGCCCACAAAUUUUAAAUUUGACAAAUUUUGUUUACGGUGCGUUGUUGUGCGUAAUCUACUCUGUCGGACAGCAUUCUCAGCUCAAAACUUUUUUUGGGGGUGUAAACGCCUUAAUGAGAGAAGCAACUGAUAGCAGGCGAUAAACCUGGAUGAACUGAACAGGGUCAGGAUGUGUGUUACACCCAAAGGCUUGCCGAACAUCUCCAAAGAAGUGCUAAGGGAUCAGAAAUAAAUUAUAUUCAUUUUCUUCGUCCUCAUCCAAGUCAUCAUCUGCCCCUCUGAUGCUAUCCCAGGGAGUGUUUGCAUUCAUAGCAUCAAUAAGGGCAUUUACUCGGCGAAUAAAUUUUAUGGUGGGACCACUGUCUUCUAGGCCUUGGUACCCCUCUUCUUUAUACGAUUCCAUAGCAUCUGCCACACCUCCACUGAAAAACUGAAACAAGUAUUAUGAAAAUUUAAAUGCAUUUUUAAAUAAGUAUCUUUUUAUUUUUUCACCACAAUUUGAAACUUACAGUGAAUGCCAUUCCUACAUUCAUGGUUUGGUAAUUGUGUGGAUAGAGAUGGUCUCUUGUGAGUUUGUAGCAGCGCUGAAUGGGUUUAUCCCUGGCAUUGUCAGCUUGCCACAAAGCUUCCCAGUGAGAGAAUUUCACCGUACCUUCAGGUGUAACAAGCUGCAGAAAAUAUCACAUAUGUAGACUUUCAAAAUUUUAUUUAGUUUUGGAUAGCUUAAAAUAUUUUUUCUACUUACAUCUUUGACAUUCCCUUUAUCUUUACUGGGCAAAAUCCUACUUUUAAGAGAUUUGAUUAAGUGAGGGAAGUCUGAGCACAUAUAAAUUCUUCGGUCAGGAUCACAAGGAUGAGCAAAGCUUGUUUUACCCUUUAUACUGCGGUCUACAAUUGUCUGUCUUUUCUUUUUUUUGCAGUAAAUGGAUUUUUUAGGCCCAACUCUGUCCACAUUUGUCUGUUCCAUGAGGCGCCAUCACAGACCCACAUGUCAACAUGGAACCCAGCCUUUUCCAACAAACAAGUUGCUUCCAGAGACAGCUUUCCAAGGACUGGUCCCUUUACCGCACCUUUAGAUAAAAAAGCCCCCACUCUCUGGAACCAAGGUCCUUUCCAUGGCUUAAACAUGUACACUAGAGCAUGAUCACCAGGCUGAUCUUUUUGUUCCCCUGGUGUGUGAUCCCCAAGGGUGACAAAUCCCUGAAUCUUUAAUAGAUUGCAGUUGAAAUGCAAACAUGGUGUUAGGCACAUUUCAUCAAACAUCAAACAACCUUGUGGGGAGGAAAAGUUACAGAAAAAUUAGGAAAAAGUAUUUAUUUUUUACUACUUCAUAUAGUUUCAAAUCAACUUACCAUGGCGCUCAUCCACCUCCAUCUCUUUGCUUUUCUUUUCCAACAUUUCAAAAGUGGCUGGGAGGAAUCCAUAUGCAGGCUUGAGCCUUUUCAUGUACCUCUGCAAAGUACGAGGAGAUGGUAAUGCCAGAGUUUGAUCCCUCCUCAUUUUUCUGUAUAGGGCAGGAGAUUUUAUCCUCAAGAGAGCACACUCAUACAUCCAUUGCUGUGUGUAUCUUCUGCCAUUUGGACCCUUUGCCUUUGCACAAUGGAUACAGGCCAGAACAGCUUCCUUUUGACGAGGUGUUAAUAUUUCAAGCACUGAACCCAGGAGUUAUUAUGGACCAACUUGGCGACCUGCUGUUCAUAAUAAGAAUAUGUUCUCUAGAAUAUGUUCAAAAAAGUGGCUUUUCUAAGUCUGAAGAAUUGUUCCUCCAGACAAUGCAUUGGUAGAAGACAGGGAUUCGUAGUUGGGGCACUGGUGGGGAUUGUUACACAAAAUAUACUGCUAACCCAUAAGGGAAAAAACUUUUUUUUUACUUGUUACCC